rnacentral:rRNA from 1 species
GACGAACGCUGGCGGCGUGCCUAAUACAUGCAAGUAGAACGCUGAAGGAGGAGCUUGCUUCUCUGGAUGAGUUGCGCACGGGUGAGUAACGCGUAGGUAACCUGCCUGGUAGCGGGGGAUAACUCUUGGAAACGCUAGCUAAUACCGCAUAAUAGCAGUUGUUCCAUGACAACUGUUUGAAAGGUGCAAUUUCACCACUACCAGAUGGACCUGCCUUGUAUUAGCUAGUUGGUGGGGUAACGGCUCACCAAAGCGACGAUACAUAGCCGACCUGAGAGGGGGAUCGGGCAAACUGGGACUGAGACACGGCCCAGACUCCUACGGGAGGCAGCAGUAGGGAAUCUUCGGCAAUGGACGGAAGUCUGACCGAGCAACGCCGCGGGAGUGAAGAAGGUUUUCGGAUCGUAAAGCUCUGUUGUAAGAGAAGGAAGAGAGGGAGAGGGGAAAGUGCACACUGUGACGGUAUCUUACCAGAAAGGGACGGCUAACUACGUG